AGGCUCGUCCUCCCAGGGUUAGUCGGGACCUAAGGCGAGGCCGAAAGGCGUAGUCGAUGGGAACCAGGUUAAUAUUCCUGGGCCAGGAGAUGGUGACGGAUCCCGAGGGUAGUUCGAUCUUAACGGAUUGAUCGAGCUGCUUAGGGUUCCCUGGAAAUAGCCCUCCACAAGACCGUACCCUAAACCGACACAGGUGGACUGGUAGAGAAUACCAAGGCGCUUGAGAGAACUAUGUUGAAGGAACUCGGCAAAAUACCUCCGUAAGUUCGCGAGAAGGAGGCCCGGUUCCUAGGCAACUAGGGGCUGGGGGCACAAACCAGGGGGUGGCGACUGUUUAUUAAAAACACAGGUCCGUGC
rnacentral:rRNA from 13 species